rnacentral:lncRNA from 1 species
CUUCCAACUAUAUCCUUAAAAACCGUAGAAUUUAGGUCUAGGACUUGCUAAAGGGACUAUGAUCUGGAUGUAAUUUUGUCUCGGAAGUCCCUUCAAGAAUUUCUUCACCAUCUUGGACUCUUCUAUGUUAUCUCCUAACGAGGCUGCUUUGGAGGGUAGGCCCGAUAUAUUUACCGCAAAGUCAUCGACCGUAUCAUUAU